UACGGAGGAUGCGAGCGUUAUCCGGAUUUAUUGGGUUUAAAGGGUGCGUAGGCGGAUUGAUAAGUCAGUGGUGAAAUUCUACAGCUUAACUGUAGACUUGCCGUUGAUACUGUUAGUCUUGAGUGUGGUCAAGGCAGGCGGAAUGUGUAAUGUAGCGGUGAAAUGCUUAGAUAUUACACAGAACACCGAUUGCGAAGGCAGCUUGCUGGGCCAUUACUGACGUUGAUGCACGAAAGCGUGGGGAGCGAACAGGA
rnacentral:rRNA from 1 species